AAUGAACGCUGGCGGCAUGGAUUAGGCAUGCAAGUCGAACGGGACGCUUUCGGGCGUCUAGUGGCGAAAGGGUGAGUAACACGUGAGCAACCUGCCCCCGAGUCUGGAAUAAGCGAUGGAAACGUCGUCUAAUGCCGGAUGAGGACUGGAGCCUCCUGGCUCCAACUCCAAAGAUUUAUCGCUUGGGGAUGGGCUCGCGUCCCAUUAGCUUGUUGGUGAGGUAACGGCUCACCAAGGCUCUGACGGGUAGGUGGACUGAGAGGUUGGUCACCCACACUGGGACUGAGACACUGCCCAGACACCUACGGGUGGCUG
rnacentral:rRNA from 1 species